CCCGGGGUGGAGCAGUGGUAGCUCGCCAGGCUCAUAACCUGGAGGUCGCAGGUUCAAAUCCUGCCCCCGGAA
rfam:Planctomycetaceae bacterium SCGC AG-212-F19 AG-212-F19.128, whole genome shotgun sequence.